UACGAAGGGGGCUAGCGUUGCUCGGAAUCACUGGGCGUAAAGGGCGCGUAGGCGGCUGAUUUAGUCGAGGGUGAAAGCCCGUGGCUCAACCACGGAAUGGCCUUCGAUACUGGUUGGCUUGAGACCGGAAGAGGACAGCGGAGCUGCGAGUGUAGAGGUGAAAUUCGUAGAUAUUCGCAAGAACACCAGUGGCGAAGGCGGCUGCCUGGUCCGGUUCUGACGCUGAGGCGCGAAAGCGUGGGGAGCAAACAGG
rnacentral:rRNA from 1 species